rnacentral:rRNA from 1 species
ACUGAACGCUGGCGGCAGGCUUAACACAUGCAAGUCGAGCGGAGAUGAGGUGCUUGCACCUUAUCUUAGCGGCGGACGGGUGAGUAAUGCUUAGGAAUCUGCCUAUUAGUGGGGGACAACAUUCCGAAAGGAAUGCUAAUACCGCAUACGUCCUACGGGAGAAAGCAGGGGAUCUUCGGACCUUGCGCUAAUAGAUGAGCCUAAGUCGGAUUAGCUAGUUGGUGGGGUAAAGGCCUACCAAGGCGACGAUCUGUAGCGGGUCUGAGAGGAUGAUCCGCCACACUGGGACUGAGACACGGCCCAGACUCCUACGGGAGGCAGCAGAGGGGAAUAUUGGACAAUGGGGGGAACCCUGAUCCAGCCAUGCCGCGUGUGUGAAGAAGGCCUUAUGGUUGUAAAGCACUUUAAGCGAGGAGGAGGCUACUGAGACUAAUACUCUUGGAUAGUGGACGUUACUCGCAGAAUAAGCACCGGCUAACUCUGUGCCAGCCGCCGCCGUAAGAC